GAUGAACGCUGGCGGCGUGCCUAAUACAUGCAAGUCGAACGCUUCACUUCGGUGAAGAGUGGCGAACGGGUGAGUAAUACAUAAGUAACCUGGCAUCUACAGGGGGAUAACUGAUGGAAACGUCAGCUAAGACCGCAUAGGUGUAGAGAUCGCAUGAACUCUAUAUGAAAAGUGCUACGGGACUGGUAGAUGAUGGACUUAUGGCGCAUUAGCUAGUUGGUAGGGUAACGGCCUACCAAGGCGACGAUGCGUAGCCGACCUGAGAGGGUGACCGGCCACACUGGGACUGAGACACGGCCCAGACUCCUACGGGAGGCAGCAGUAGGGAAUUUUCGGCAAUGGGGGAAACCCUGACCGAGCAACGCCGCGUGAAGGAAGAAGUAAUUCGUUAUGUAAACUUCUGUCAUAGAGGAAGAACGGUGGAUAUAGGGAAUGAUAUCCAAGUGACGGUACUCU
rnacentral:rRNA from 1 species